rnacentral:snRNA from 1 species
AUACCUUGUGGAGGUCACACCUCGAUCCUGAAGGUCAUUGUCUCUAUGAGGCUUAUCCAUUGCUCUUGGGAUGUGCUGCCCCUGUGAUAUUCCCAAACACGGUAAGCUCAACUACACAAUCCCUGGUCAGUCUCAGAGGACUGUGCUCUCUCU